CCGGGGCUGACGCGAGGAGCCCAGGCACAUCCCCAAGCUCUCGGAGUAGGCCCUAAGGGAGAGCAAUUCCUCCCAACAGCUGGAUCUGCUUUCACAAUUGGUAAACACGUAAAAUGGAAGGCCGUGGAAGAUGCGAAGACUCGCCGAGGAGCCGCUUCCCCGCCCGCUUGGCUCGCGUUCUGAGGCUUAUCUGGGGUCUCCGCACAAGCCUCAUCAAAACCCAGAGUGUCUUCAAACAGGCAACCCGCAUCGCAUUCCCUUCUUCAGAGGGUCAACAUGUUCUCUGGGGGAGAAAUUUUCUGAAUGCCUUGCAGAUAAAAUUGAUCAGAUGCAGGCCAGAUCGCCAGCUGCCAAGAUCUGCAGGCUCCAUGUGGAGGCCAGCCCAGAAGAAUCUUCCCAGCAUUCCCACACCUCCCUGCGGCCAGCAUCUCAGGGUCCCCUGGGAUAUCUCCUCAAGAGCACGGCUUUCCGGUGCUGCUGCCACCAACGCCCUUCAAGAGAGGACCAGAGCCAAAGAAGACUAAGUGGGUCGUUAAAGGAGACCAUCCACCUAAAUGUGAUCCUCGGGAACAAGUUUGCAUGCAGACUCAAGCUGAAAACCUGCCUGGGUCUGGAAAGAUAGAGCCCAAGAGCACAGCUGUCCACCGGGGGUUGGCUUGCUUACUUUGCCCCCAGGGACCAGGGGCUCACUAGCAUGUCUAGUUUUGGUUCAGAAAGUCCAGGGAAGUGUGGCAGCUGGAAAAUAGUUUAGGGGACAAAGUUUAGGCUCUGUAUUUUCCACAGAAGAAGUGAAAUUCUUCUGAUGGAAGUUUCCAACACCGGGAAGGGGUGGGAGGGCAGGAGGAGGGGAAGCUGAGCAUGUGGUCCACCUUCAGAGGAAGCUUGGAAGUAUGCCUGUGAACACCUGCUCAAUUACUGAGAAGGUCACAACACAGGGCUGGUCCUCUUCUGGACUGGUGGGAGAGCUUUCCUUCUAGAAUCAAUCAUCUUUAGGCAGCCAGAACCCCACUCACCACAGCCCUCCCCCCCCCCAACACACAAAGGGGAUUUGCUAGUCUCAUGGGGUCCAACUACAGAGAUGUGUGAUGGGUGACUUUAAUUAUCAAAUUGACACAACCUACAAUGUAGGGAUUGCCGACAUCAGGUUGCCCGUGGGCAUAUCUACAGGUGUGGGGGGGUGUUAAUUGAAGUGGGAAGAUGUACCCUGAAC
rnacentral:lncRNA from 1 species